GUCCCGGCAGUAAACGUUGGACACUAGGUGUGGGAGGUUCGACCCCUUCUGUGCCGCAGUUAACGCAUUAAGUGUCCCGCCUGGGGAGUACGGCCGCAAGGUUGAAACUCAAAAGGAAUUGACGGGGCCCGCACAAGCGGUGGAGUAUGUGGUUUAAUUCGACGCAACGCGAAGAACCUUACCUGGGUUUGACAUGCACGGGACAGGAGCAGAGAUGUUCCCUCCCCUUCGGGGGUCCGUGCACAGGUGCUGCAUGGCUGUCGU
rnacentral:rRNA from 1 species